UUAUCUUCUGCGUAAUAGUGAGCCUAUGGAUAUAUGCUGUUUUUUUGAGCACGCAUUACGAAUCUACCAAUGGAGAUCGGCCAGCAAUUCUUGAUGCCACGAAGUUCUACGCGACACGAAAAAGUGAGGUGGCGGUUGAUGUGCUACCGGAAGACCGACGUCUCAUGCGCCUUUACGAAGUAGCUCUCCAUCGCCAUGGACUCACGCCGGUCCGUGCAAGCUCCUCGGCCGUCGGGCAACCGCCGGAGACUCUCAAUCGUUUAUGUGACGCGCUGACUAGCAACAGAAUCCUGUGCCUUUCAUCAUCUCAACACAAGACUGUAAAGGACGACACGUACAGGCCAGGCGUAGUACCGUGCGUUUCUAAAUUGAAUUUCAAGGAAUACACUGCCCGUGAAAGAAUGUGGAUAUUAAAGCAAUCCCGUCCAGUCAGGAAAAUAUUGCUGUUGAAUCAGACAUUCGGUAGUGACACGGAUAA